AGCCAGUCUCCUGUGAAGAACACCACUGCACUGAGCAACAUCAAAUACAUGGAUUGAUAAUAUACAGAGAUUUGUAUAGCAUAGAAUUUUUUUUUAAAUGGAGGCCACUAAAAGGCACUAAACAGCAAGGCAGUGCUUCAUCAAACACAGUUCAUAUGAGAAAUCUGAUCAAACGAAUCUGUCCCUGGGUUAAGUAAACCAGUUGGACUGCUAUGUGUUCGUUGCUGAAGUCAGUUUUCUACAAAGUUUUACUUUUAAAAGAGAAAUUUGGUUGUAAAGGAGUAUACUUUAUUAGAAUGGAUUCACCAUUUUUUCCUGAGAGAAAUGUUCGACUUUAGAGCAGGCACUUACUAGAAUUAGAGGUAUAUUUGGAGCAGAAGGUCAUAGUAAAUAGGAAGCAGAUGUUCAGAGAAAGUUCUGAGCAAGUCUUCAGACAGUUAUUGCUUACUGGCUCUGUGAAGAAUGUGCUUAGUAUGUUUUUACACAGAAGGAUGCGUGGUUCAUACCCUCAGGAUGUAUAGAAAGAAAUAACAGCUACUUCAUCUGUGAACAUGCUUGGACUGUUGGGUGACACUUCCUUGAAGAAACAAUUCCCAGUUGCCUAGGGAGGGUUUUGCCCAAUGAUUAACCAGGAUCUUCUACACAUAUCUUUCUAUGACCAGUGGGAGAUUUCUUAAAUCAUGACUUUUUAUGAUGAGGCAGAUGUUUCUAUUUCUAACACAAUCAGGAGUGAGAGAAGGAACCAAUAAACCACUCUACCAUCACCCACAGGUUUGACAGCACUACAGAUACUUUGCCCUGAAUGCUAAGUUCUACAUCAUCUCAGUUUUCUGGAUAUCAUUUUUGUUUAUAUAUUGGGAAACCAAAGACUUCCCUUUUACAUUUUUUUGUCUUUAAAUGCCAGUUAUAUCAGCUGACCAGAAGAACUAGUCCUUCACUGAAUUGAGAUUUAAAACGUUUCUGUAAUUGGAAGAAUGGAUAUUUAUCAAGAUGUUUCUGGUUACUUGAUGAGGUCAAAUAGAGGCCCUCUGAAUAAAUUAGGUUCAGGGUUCCGAUCAUUUUUUUUUUUUUUAAUUUCCUUUUGUGAGUUUUUUGUUUUUUAUAUCUUUUGUUUUGGGUUCUGAUCAUUUUAAAUAAAAUUAUUUAGAGGCUACUGCCCCACAGCUGAUUAUAUAUUAUGGGAAAGUCCACUUAAAGAGCAAAAAGUGUUUUUAUAGCUUGAUUUGUCCGUAACAACUGUCUGGCACUCACAUUGGUCCAUUAGAGUUGAGCCGAAGUGGUAGUGCCCUUCAUGUAUGUCAUCACCAUGCAUCACACGCCCACUGAACAUCCAAGUUGGUUCUGCCCCUUAGCUGGCAUGCAUUGUGGUAGAGGGGAAUGCUAAGGAGUCUGGCAUCAGCAAGGAUCUGUCAGCCUAAUUUUUAGAGAUCUAGUUCUCACUUGCAUUCUCUCCAAAAAAAAAAAAAAAA
rnacentral:lncRNA from 1 species